AGGCGACGAUCCCUAGCUGGUCUGAGAGGAUGACCAGCCACACUGGAACUGAGACACGGUCCAGACUCCUACGGGAGGCAGCAGUGGGGAAUAUUGCACAAUGGGCGCAAGCCUGAUGCAGCCAUGCCGCGUGUAUGAAGAAGGCCUUCGGGUUGUAAAGUACUUUCAGCGGGGAGGAAGGGAGUAAAGUUAAUACCUUUGCUCAUUGACGUUACCCGCAGAAGAAGCACCGGCUAACUCCGUGCCAGCAGCCGCGGUAAUACGGAGGGUGCAAGCGUUAAUCGGAAUUACUGGGCGUAAAGCGCACGCAGGCGGUUUGUUAAGUCAGAUGUGAAAUCCCCGGGCUCAACCUGGGAACUGCAUCUGAUACUGGCAAGCUUGAGUCUCGUAGAGGGGGGUAGAAUUCCAGGUGUAGCGGUGAAAUGCGUAGAGAUCUGGAGGAAUACCCGGUGGCGAAGGCGGCCCCCUGACGAAGACUACGCUCAGUCAAAGCG
rnacentral:rRNA from 1 species